rnacentral:tRNA from 1 species
UGGCGGCGUAGCUCAGCUGGCUAGAGCGUACGGUUCAUACCCGUAAGGUCGGGGGUUCGAUCCCCUCUGCCGCCACCAA